rnacentral:lncRNA from 1 species
GUUCUUGGACACACAUUAGUUGUGACAGGGGCAAUUUAUUUCCUUCCUUCAACCAAAUACAAAUCAGAUGAUUUUGUUUGACUGAAACUUGAGUGAUGGAGAAAGAGUUUCUUUCACCAUUCUAGUCAACUCUGAAAUUGCAAACACAUUGCCAAAUACGGACUGAUGUAUUAGUCAAAUCUAUCAACUUGAUUGUGCAGACGGCCGAGUUUGUCCCUCAAUGAAUAAUGUGAUAUCUGUAAUGUCUUCAGUAAAAGAGGCAACUAGACAAUCCAAAGCAAACAAUAUAUAUUUAUCAAAUUGUCCAGUAGUAAAUGAAUGCAUUGACUCCAGUGGCGAUUUUCACCCCCCGUAAAAACAAUUCCCAGGACAUAGACAUAUCUGAUAUGGGCAGAAAGCUUAAAUUCUUGUUAAUCAAACUGCACUGUCCAAUUUACAGUAGCUAUUACAGUGAACGAAUACCAUGCUAUUGUUUGAGGAGUGUGCACAAUUAUGAACUUAAAAAUGUAUUAAUACAACAUUUUGAACAGAUAUGCAAUGGUUCAUUGGAUCAGUCUAAAACUCUGCACAUACACUGCUGCCAUCUAGUGGCCAAAAUCUAAAUUGCGCCUGGGAUGGAAUAAUGCAUUAUGGUCUUUCUCUUGCAUUUCGAAGAUGAUGGUACAAAAAACAAACAUGUUUUUUUCUUUGUAUUAUCUUUCACCAGAUCUAAUGUGUUAUAUUCUCCUACAUUAAUUUCACAUUUCCACAAACUUCAAAGUGUUUCGUUUCAAAUGGUAUCAAGAAUAUUCAUAUCCUUGCUUCAGGUCCUAAGCUACAGGCAGUUAGAUUUGGGUAUGUCAUUUUAGGCUAAAAUUUAAAAAAAAGGGUCCGAUCCUUUAACAUGAAAAUAUCAAUUGGGUAAACUCAAUCAAAAAAGCUCAUAUGCAUCAUAACCACUACACACACAAACGUUAUAACAUUCGGUUAUGAUCAGUUUACUUCCCAUAGUAAAAUUCUGCAUGGGUCUACAAUAUUUCUUAAUUGUUACAGUAUUGGGACGCAGCCAAAACACUGUUCUGAGUGGGCCUGUCUGUUACCAACAUGCUCCAGUUAAGAUUAAAGCAACAAGGUUUAUAAAGUUACUCCCUCUCUUCAUCUACUGUAUAGUUCCAGUUCCAUGGGUAUAACAGUCUGACAUCAAACAUAAACAACAAGCCACGUCGUAUAGCUUCCUCAAAACAGAUGUUAGCCACUGCUUCUAUUCACCACCAACCACAGUUGAAACUUUUUUUCCAGCUUGCUUUAUUUUAAUGGAUGGCCUUUCAAUGUUUAGUGGCUGAUGAGCGCCUAGACAUUUUAUCUCUACAUUUCCUUCAUAAUGCUAAGUUUGAAAAUGAUUUGCUAGGAUAUAAUCAGCAUAGUAACUUUUUAGCUGGCCAUGGUAAACAAUGAAGUUGACACACAUCAGUCCAAUCAAAGUUACCGGAGAAAAGACGCUGACUUAUCUGUGGCCAAUGACCUUGAGCCUCCUUGGAUGGGCACUGCCAAUGUAACGCUAUGGCAGCACCCAAGGGGGCAGAAGCUCCCUGGCCCUCAGUGUGCUCUCCCAGUAAGUUCUGCGGUCUUGUGAGUGACAUCACCCUGAGACAAUCCAUCGCAACCAAAGAAGAUCUACGAUGCCUUCGCUCUGUGCUUACUCUGGCUGCCCUUCCGCCACAGAAGGCACUGAGCGAGGGUGAAACUGCUGCGUUCUGGAACUACCUUACUCUAAUAAAAUGUAUCAAAAC